rnacentral:rRNA from 1 species
AGGAUGAACGCUGGCGGCGUGCCUAACACAUGCAAGUCGAACGUCCUGUCUCGCAAGAGGCAGGGAGUGGCGGACGGGUGAGUACCACGUGGGUCAUCUACCGUGAGGUGAGGAAUACCGGCGAGAAAUCGCCGACAAGACCGCAUAGGCUCGAUGCAAGUCGAGCAAAGCUCUUUCGAGAGAGGGAGCGCCACACGAGGAGCCUGCGCCCGAUUAGCUAGCUGGUGGAGUAACGGUUCACCAGGGCGACGAUCGGUAGCUGGUCUGAGAGGACGAUCAGCCACACUGGGAUUGAGAACGGCCCAGACUCCUACGGGGGGCAGCAGUGAGGAAUUUUCGUCAAUGGGGGCAACCCUGAACGAGCAACGCCGCGUGCAGGAAGAAGGUUUCGGAUCGUAAACUGCUUUUCGUCGGGGAAGAGAACGGACGGUACCCGAGGAAUCAGCCCCGGCUAACUACGCGCCAGCAGCCGCGGU